rnacentral:rRNA from 1 species
GAAUACCAAUUGCGAAGGCAGCUUUCUGGAUCAUUACUGACGCUGAGGAACGAAAGCAUGGGUAGCGAAGAGGAUUAGAUACCCUCGUAGUCCAUGCCGUAAACGAUGUGUGUUAGACGUUGGAAAUUUAUUUUCAGUGUCGCAGCGAAAGCGUUAAACACACCGCCUGGGGAGUACGACCGCAAGGUUAAAACUCAAAUGAAUUGACGGGGACCCGCACAAGUAGUGGAGCAUGUGGUUUAAUUCGAAGAUACGCGCAGAACCUUACCAACACUUGACAUGUUCGUCGCGACUCUAAGAGAUUAGAGUUUUCGGUUCGGCCGGACGAAACACAGGUGCUGCAUGGCUGUCGUCAGCUCGUGUCGUGAGAUGUUGGGUUAAGUCCCGCAACGAGCGCAACCCUCACUUUUAGUUGCCAUCAUUUAGUUGGGCACUCUGAAAGAACUGCCAGUGAUAAGCUGGAGGAAGGUGGGGAUGACGUCAAGUCCUCAUGGCCCUUACGUGUUGGGCUACACACGUGCUACAAUGGCAUUUACAAUAGGAAGCAAGAUGGCGACAUCAAGCAAAUCCUAAAAAGAUGCCUCAGUUCGGAUUGUACUCUGCAACUCGAGUACAUGAAGCUGGAAUUACUAGUAAUCGCGGAUCAGCGCGCCGCGGUGAAUACGUUCCCGGGUCUUGUACACACCGCCCGUCACACCAUGGGAGUUGGUUCUACCUUAAGGCAAGGUUUUAAACCCUUGACUACGGUAUAGUCAGCGACUGGGGUGAAGUCGUAACAAGGUAAC